CGCUGGCGGCGUGCUUAACACAUGCAAGUCGAACGAAAUUAAAAAAUUAUCAUUGAGCUCUCCGAUGAGAUGGGAGCCAAGCGUCGUGACCGCGCAGCGGGCACCACGCGUUCAACAAGUGCAACACCAAGUCGAAGGGUUGAAUGGUAAUUUUUUAAUUUAGUGGCAAACGGGUGAGUAACACGUAGACAACCUGCCGACAGGAUGGGGACAACAUUCCGAAAGGAAUGCUAAUACCGAAUGAAGUCGAGGGAGGGCAUCCUCUCUCGAUGAAAGAUGGCCUCUAUUUAUAAGCUAUCACCUGUCGAUGGGUCUGCGUCUGAUUAGCUAGUUGGUGGGGUAACGGCUCACCAAGGCGACGAUCAGUAGCCGGUCUGAGAGGAUGAACGGCCACAUUGGGACUGAGACACGGCCCAGACUCCUACGGGAGGCAGCAGUGGGGAAUCUUCCGCAAUGGGCGCAAGCCUGACGGAGCAACGCCGCGUGAGUGAAGAAGGUCUUCGGAUCGUAAAGCUCUGUUGACCUGGGACGAACGUGCGAGGGAUGAAU
rnacentral:rRNA from 1 species